rnacentral:rRNA from 1 species
UACGGGGGGAGCAAGCGUUGUUCGGAUUUACUGGGCGUAAAGGGCGCGCAGGCGGCUCAUUUUGUCAGGCGUGAAAGCCCCGGGCUUAACCUGGGAACUGCGUUUGAUACGGAUGGGCUAGAGUUCGGGAGAGGAGAGUGGAAUUCCCAGUGUAGAGGUGAAAUUCGUAGAUAUUGGGAAGAACACCGGUGGCGAAGGCGGCUCUCUGGACCGAGACUGACGCUGAGGCGCGAAAGCGUGGGGAGCAAACAGG